rnacentral:rRNA from 1 species
UCGCAGGCUGCAACUCGCCUGCGUGAAGUUGGAAUUGCUAGUAAUCGCGGAUCAGCAUGCCGCGGUGAAUACGUUCCCGGGCCUUGUACACACCGCCCGUCACACCAUGGGAGUUUGUAACACCCGAAGUCAGUAUCCUAACCGCAAGGGGGGAGCUGCCGAAGGUGGGAUAAGCGACUGGGGUGAAGUCGUAACAAGGUAAC